GAGGGUACAGCUCAGUGGUAGAGUGCAUGCCUAGCAUGCAGGAGGUCCUGAGUUCAAACCCUAGUACUUCCA
rfam:Camelus ferus unplaced genomic scaffold scaffold576, whole genome shotgun sequence.